rnacentral:rRNA from 1 species
GACGUAGGGUGCAAGCGUUGUCCGGAUUUACUGGGCGUAAAGAGCGCGUAGGCGGUCUGUUAAGUGUAGAGUGAAAUCUCCAGGGCUCAACCCGGAAACUGCUCUGCAUACUGGCAGACUGGAGGGACUGAGAGGUGAAUGGAAUUCCUGGUGUAGCGGUGAAAUGCGUAGAUAUCGGGAGGAAGGCCGGUGGCGAAGGCGGCGCUCUGGAACAUUUCUGACGCUGAGGCUCGAAAGCGUGGGGAGCAAACAGG